rnacentral:rRNA from 1 species
UACGUAGGGUGCGAGCGUUGUCCGGAUUUAUUGGGCGUAAAGAGCUCGUAGGCGGUUUUGUCGCGUCGGCCGUGAAAAUCUCCACGCUUAACGUGGAGCGUGCGGUCGAUACGGGCAGACUUGAGUUCGGUAGGGGAGACUGGAAUUCCUGGUGUAGCGGUGAAAUGCGCAGAUAUCAGGAGGAACACCGAUGGCGAAGGCGACUACCUGGCCUGUUUCUUUGACGCUGAGGCGCGAAAGCUAGGGAGCAACGGG